rnacentral:rRNA from 1 species
CGUGAGUGAUGAAGGCUUUCGGGUCGUAAAGCUCUGUCAAGUGGGAAGAACCUGCUCGAUGUUAACACCAUCUAGCACUGACGGUACCACUAAAGGAAGCACCGGCUAACUCCGUGCCAGCAGCCGCGGUAAUACGGGGGGUGCAAGCGUUAUUCGGAUUUAUUGGGCGUAAAGGGCGCGUAGGCGGUCUCUAUAGUCAGAUGUGAAAGCCCGGGGCUUAACCCUGGAAGUGCAUUUGAAACUUAGGGACUUGAGUAUGGGAGAGGGAAGUGGAAUUCCUGGUGUAGCGGUGAAAUGCGUAGAUAUCAGGAGGAACACCAGUGGCGAAGGCGACUUCCUGGACCAAUACUGACGCUGAGGCGCGAAGGCGUGGGGAGCAAACAGGAUUAGAUACCCUGGUAGUCCACGCAGUAAACGGUGAACACUAGGUGUAGCGGGUAUUGACCCCUGCUGUGCCGCAGCUAACGCAUUAA